UACGAAGGGGGCUAGCGUUGUUCGGAAUUACUGGGCGUAAAGGGCUCGUAGGCGGCCAACUAAGUCAGACGUGAAAUCCCUCGGCUUAACCGGGGAACUGCGUCUGAUACUGGAUGGCUUGAGGUUGGGAGAGGGAUGCGGAAUUCCAGGUGUAGCGGUGAAAUGCGUAGAUAUCGGGAGGAACACCUGUGGCGAAAGCGGCUCACUGGACCAUAACUGACGCUGAUGCACGAAAGCUGGGGGGAGCAAACAGG
rnacentral:rRNA from 1 species